GACGAACGCUGGCGGCGUGCUUAACACAUGCAAGUCGAACGAUGAAGCCUAGCUUGCUAGGUGGAUUAGUGGCGAACGGGUGAGUAAUACGUGAGUAACCUACCUUUAACUCUGGGAUAAGCCUGGGAAACUGGGUCUAAUACCGGAUACGACCAAUCUCCGCAUGGGGUGUUGGUAGAAAGCGUUAUGUAGUGGUUAUAGAUGGGCUCACGGCCUAUCAGCUUGUUGGUGAGGUAACGGCUCACCAAGGCGACGACGGGUAGCCGGCCUGAGAGGGUGACCGGCCACACUGGGACUGAGACACGGCCCAGACUCCUACGGGAGGCAGCAGUGGGGAAUAUUGCACAAUGGGCGCAAGCCUGAUGCAGCGACGCCGCGUGAGGGAUGACGGCCUUCGGGUUGUAAACCUCUGUUAGCAGGGAAGAAGAGAGAUUGACGGUACCUGCAGAGAAAGCGCCGGCUAACUACGUG
rnacentral:rRNA from 1 species